UCAAUAAAAUGUGGAAAAACACUCUCGUUGAAAUAAGCAACCGCGCCGGCAAGAAGGCCGCACUCCCUGUUCUGAAUAAGCUGCAAAAAGCGGUGGCCACGGACCUCAGCAUAUCACCCGUCUAUUCCGGAAAGAGUGCAGACUCGCUAUUCUCCGCUAAAGCAGAUGCUCUUCGUGAUUCACGAAAUGACUACCUCACACACCUCCAGAGCAGCACGCUCUACUCCUCCCUCUCAGCAUUGGCACCAAUGCGCGCCACCGAUGAAAGUAAUACCCUCUUACGAAGUGCAGAGGGGUUUCCCUUUCUCUAUGCCCAGGAAGCCUUUUGUGUCUUGAUCAAAGCAGGAGAGGCUCAACACGCACUUAGGCUAACCACUUUCUGGAAGUACCAGAAGCCCAAGCACCUAAGAGUGGUUCGCAAGAAGGUGAAGCGUGAGCUUUUCAGAACAAUUAGCACCUUGGAAGAAGUUAAAGAUGCCUCGACGCUGAAGGCGCUUAUCGAUAUUCUGAGUUCAGCCCUCCAAGAACAGCAGCUGGCACAUAAAUCUGCCUUGCAAGCGGUGUCGCUGACACACAGCGAUGCCUGCCAGCCAUUCAUUCAAUACAAGCUCUUUGCGCCCCUCGGCUCGACGGCAACCGCAGACGUCCUUGUCUGCGCAGCCGAAGCCGCAUGUCGACUCGAUGGCGGAGAAGGAAUUCCUACGUUGGAAAAACUAGUCAUUUUGGACAAGUGUGCAAGUGUCCGCGUCAGUUCGGCCACGACAGCCCGCCUACCGUACCAGCUGUACCGCUUGCUUGAGGCGUGGGCAGCGGAAAGGCUUCUGGAUCCAAAGCUUACCGAGCAAGUCUGCCCCGACUUGCCCCCCAAGCUUCUGCACCCCUCCCACUACACAACCUUAGACAUCCUCGCUCUCAGCACCGCAGAGGCGCGUUACAUUCAUAAGAACUGGAUUUCGCGUGGCCUUUUUCAACCCAACUCCGACAAACUGGGUCAAUGCUCAAAAUGGAGUUGCAUCAUGGGUCGACUGCUUGCUAACUCGAAGACGCUGCAAGCUGUUGAGGCGAAGUGUUUACUCAUUGCUCUCAUGUGUGGCCCUGCAAAACCUGCAAUCACGGGCGACAGCCGUUCUGUCAGCACUGUUCGAAGGAGCAUUUUAAGACUUCUACGCAACUUAAAGCCCAGCGUCCGCCGUCAUGCUGCCGCGAAUUUGCUGAAGAAACGGCACCUAUUUGCGGCAUUGAAAAUAUCACCGUUUACUACGGCGUGCGUUUACCUGCAGUCCUUUCACUCUAAGAAUACGGUUGACCCGACGCUCUGUAAGAUGUGCACGGCGCUUCUUUUUCGGCUCUGCCGCGCUGGCCGUUACGCUGACGCUGCGCGAGUCAUAUGGAAUCAUCUCUCUGUUGAAUGUUCUGUGACCGCGGCGCUCUUCAAGAAAAAUGCAAUGACAGUGGAGUUUGCUGUAGUGGCGGUGAGUCACGCAAUGCGCGAAGCGUGCGCGAAGAAGUAUAGUCGGAGUUGGAUGGGCUACCGAUCUCUUGCAUUGCUGCGCGCAGCCGCCUCCGCUUCUAACCACGUUACUGUGAUGUACUGCGCUCCCGUUUGUGUCGGUGCACUUGAAUGCGGCGUCCCUUUUGCAGCCGUGAAUGAAGCGCUUUCACAUAUUUUCAGUAAUGAUGCCGCGCAGAAAGCAUGGGCACUCAAUUUGGUGCGAUUAUGCUCAGACGCAGAGGUUACGCCGACAAAAGCGAAGGCAGACCGUUGCGGUAUCGACGCCAAUGUUGCCUCCUAUCUGGCGCAGAUGUGUCGUCUCCAGGGGGGUAAAGACGGAGAGGCAGUACUACAGACACCUUCGCGGAGCAAGCAGCUUGCUUUGUGGACAACACUGACGGAGCCUCACUCGAACCCUCGCUUGAACGCACUGAUGACAGCUGUUUUUUUGGACCGUACCGCCCGUGACUCCAUCAUUGAGUGCACAUGGUUUCUUCGACAGUCGCAGAACACUCAUUUUUUCGCUCAGAAAGAGCGCGCAAAAGAAAUGCCGCUUUUAGACAUCUGGAAUUGGGAGGUUGCGGCAGCCAUGGCUGCGAAUUGCUCCAGUGACGAGAGCUUCAUGGCAUUUGUUGAGUGCCUAAAGCGCCGAAAGCCGAGCUGCAUUACGCGCACUGGUGAUAACGCAGAUAAUGUUGCUGCACUUCUGUGCAGCGAGCUGGAUAUUCACUAUCUUACUCCUGUGGUCUCCCGAGAUCAGUACCGUAGUUUUCGCUCCUCAGGUAUCACAAGCGCGAUCCAAUAACAGCUUGUGCACCUUGCUAUGCUGAUCUAACGUGAUGCCAAAUAAUAGAG
rnacentral:misc_RNA from 1 species